rnacentral:tRNA from 1 species
GGAGACGUGGCUCAAAGGUUGAGCGACGGACUGUUAAUCCGUGAGGUUAACUCUAUGCUGGUUCGAGUCCAGCCGUCUCCGCAA